rnacentral:misc_RNA from 1 species
UUUUUUUUUUUUUUUUUUUUUUUUCGCUGGUCGAAAAAAAAAAGGUUAUUAUACACCCCAACCCCAUCCCUUAGAAAGAAAAAGGUAGCACCGAAGAAAGGAAAAAGCGAGAUGGUGGUUUUUGUUGUUUCCGCGAAGCGAAGAUCAUUCGCUUCGCGAAUGAAGUGAGUCAACCUCUUUUUGGCUUCGGACAAACACUUUUUUUCGCUGGUCGAGCUUUCUACAAAAAAAGCGAUGCGAGAACGUAUUCUCUUAUCUAAGCUUCUUCCCUGUGCAUUCGCUCCCCCCAUCGUAGAUGGUUCAGCCACGCCCGGUGCCACGAAAUGAUUGAGAACUACGACGGGGUCGAAAUGAAUUUGGUUCUUUGUAUUCAAUAAAUAUUGCAUGACCAAAUAAUUCAAGGAGAGGCACACUGCAGGGAGGGUCCUUUUAAGUAGAUGACUCGUCGGGCCGUCGGAGCGGGACUUCUUUGGGAAAAAGAACUUGAAUAACUUCGUUUUUCUGAAGGAGUCGUCAUUUUCUAUCAGGAACGCUAUGUCAUUUACAACCCCGGCGUAUUUCGGAUGCUUGAAGGCCCCGCUGACCCGAAGUGAUUUAGAAAGAUUCUUCUUUAUCGAUGGUGAUCGGUCAUGGUAUCCAUAGCGUUACUUCUUUUUCGGCCAAUUCUAAGAAAGAGAAAUCCCAAAAAA